GCGCCGAUAGUUUAACGGUAAAAUUUCCGUCUCCAAAACGGAAGACUGGGGGUUCGAUUCCCUCUCGGCGUG
rnacentral:tRNA from 1 species